rnacentral:rRNA from 1 species
CCUGCAGUCGAGGGGUAGGGUUACUUCGGUAUCUGAGACCGGCGCACGGGUGCGUAACGCGUAUGCAAUCUACCUUUUACUAUGGGAUAGCCCAGAGAAAUUUGGAUUAACACCAUAUAGUAUAUUUGAAUGGCAUCGUUUGAAUAUUAAAGAUUUAUCGGUAAAAGAUGAGCAUGCGUCCCAUUAGUUAGUUGGUGUGGCAACGGCAUACCAAGACGAUGAUGGGUAGGGGUCCUGAGAGGGAGAUCCCCCACACUGGUACUGAGACACGGACCAGACUCCUACGGGAGGCAGCAGUGAGGAAUAUUGGUCAAUGGAGGCAACUCUGAACCAGCCAUGCCGCGUGCAGGAUGACGGUCCUAUGGAUUGUAAACUGCUUUUGUACGGGAAGAAAACAAACUACGAGUAGUUAAUUGACGGUACCGUAAGAAUAAGGAUCGGCUAACUCCGUGCCAGCAGCCGCGGUAAUACGGAGGAUCCAAGCGUUAUCCGGAAUCAUUGGGUUUAAGGGUCCGUAGGCGGCCUUAUAAGUCAGUGGUGAAAGUUUUUGGCUUAACCAAAAAUUGCCAUUGAUACUGUAGGGCUUGAAUAUCUGUGAAGUAACUAGAAUAUGUAGUGUAGCGGUGAAAUGCUUAGAUAUACAUGGAAUACGAUGGCGANGCAGNUUCUAACAGAUGAUUGACGCUGAUGACCAAAGC